CACACAGGAAGCCCUCGGGCACGUCGGUGAAGGAAAGGUUGCCGUACGCGGCCAGCACCAACCACUGAGGAGGAGAAAGGACAUACAAGACACAAGGGUCACAAAUAUGAAGGUGACACCAUUCACCCUGCGGCUGGCUGUGGCAGGACAUAGGAACUCCCACAGCUCCUCAGCACGACAGCCUUCCCCUGCUGCACUCACCCGCCGCCCUGCUAAGUCUGCAAACACCAGCAUAGCUUGUGUCUGUUGAUCUUUUCCCAGGAACAUCUGUAUGCACUUACACACAUACAUACAUGAGCGCGAGUCGAGCUGUUGUGUCUGGAGGCAGUCACUGAAGGUAUGCAGGAGGUGGAUGUUGUCACUGGAGGAAAGUUGCCGUUCCACCCAGCCCAGUCCCCGCAGCAGCCCAUCCACCCUCACUCCAUC